UGCACUGGAUGAAAUAUCAACAUGGG
rnacentral:piRNA from 1 species